ensembl:lncRNA
ACUUAUUAAAAAAUGGCGUUCAGACCUUAAUAAUUAUCUUUUCUCUAAAUAAUUCUUUUUUUUCUCUUCAGGUCCAGAUCAUUUGCUAAUGCUCCUCCUGAACGUGUUAAAUUCGAAAGCAGAGAGCUGAUUGUACACGUACCUUUGGAAUACGUACUUACUGGAACUCAGUCAGAUAUAUGGGUAGAAAGGCAAAAAGACAAUAUAAAUUGUUCCUCCAACAAGACCACUGUCAUCCUUAAACAUUUAGUCAAAUAUAGUUCCCCUGACAUACAGAAAAAGGUAAGGUCAGCUGGAAAUCUGAUGCUAAGCUGGCCCAAAACAGAAGAUAACAAAGGUGCGAUUCAUGAGAUCAGAUGGAAGAAGAUUAAUGCUUCAUGGCAGAAUGUAAGUGCUUCUCUUUCUAUUUUACACCAUAAAAUAUUAGCUCUCUAAGGAGUGAGGAUAUUUAUUAAUUUGAUUUAUUAUCAAAUCACAGGACACUUUUGAGACUGAGGACAAUAAAACAGACCCAUGGGACUCCUACCGUCUGCCGUUGCAGAUCCACUCAGUGUACCAGGUCCAGAUUAGACGCAAGACCAAGCAAUACCACAUCUGGAGUGAGUGGAGCAACACUGUUGACGUUCCUGUCGAAAUUAAAGCACCCGUUGUCCACUGGAGACAAGAAAAGAAAAAAGGCAGGAGGAAAGUUACUCUCAAAUGGGAUGUUCCACCUCCUGAAGCCAGUUCCAGUGGUGUCACAUAUAACCUGACUUUAAAUUUUCCUUGUAAAACUAAAAAUAAAACCACAAAAGAGACGUCUUACAGCUUGACAGCAGCUGAUUCUGAACUUAGGGUGUCUAUCAUUGCUAUCAAUGACGUAUCCACAUCACCGUUUCAAGAGAUUAUCAUACCACCUGUCCAGCAUUUAAAACGUAAGUAUUGUUGGAAAUGUGUGUAUGCGUGUGUGUGUGUGUGUGUGUGUGUGUGUGUUUGUGUGUGUGUGCAACUGACAGUCGAGUAAAACUCUGAUUCACAACAAUAGCUGCCAGCAUAUGUCCCGGACGAGCCCCCAAUUAUGUUACGGCCUGGAAAGCCAGACCAGUAACAUAUGCUAGGACGACAUAGUUGGUUUCACUCAAUUUUGAAUCAACAACAUAAGGACCGGUAAACCGAGCCUGUAAAGCAGAACCCACAACUGGUAGCAACACAAGUACCUUAUCACCCUCACUGAACGUGCGGGGUACAGACUUUUUAUCGAACCUCUUCUUCAUUUUCUCCUGAGCUGAACCCAGCUGUGUCUGAGCAAAUUUACAAGCAUGCUGAAGACGGUCACGAAACUCACUAACGUAAUCCAGCACGUUUGUCGACACAUAUCUUUCAGACAACAACUCUUCGCGAAGAAGCCGAAGUGGACCUCUAACCGUGUGCGCAAAAAUUAAGUCCGCAGGACUAAACCCUAACGACUCUUGCACGGUCUCCCGGAUCGCGAACAGCAACAAGGGAAUACCCUCAUCCCAUUCCUUACCUGUAUCUAAACAGAAAGUGCGCAGCAUGGAUUUUAAUGUCUGAUGGAAUCUUUCCAAAGCGCCCUGGGAUUCAGGAUGCCAUGCGCUAGAGAACUUAUGCUCAAUGCCGAGCU